UACGUAGGGGGCAAGCGUUGUCCGGAAUCAUUAGGCGUAAAGAGCGCGUAGGCGGUCCGGUAAGUCCGCUCUGAAAGUCCGGGGCUCAACCCCGGGAGGCGGGCGGAUACUGUCGGGCUAGAGUCCGGAAGAGGCGAGUGGAAUUCCUGGUGUAGCGGUGAAAUGCGCAGAUAUCAGGAGGAACACCCGUGGCGAAGGCGGCUCUCUAUCUCGAUUCUGACGCUGAGGCGCGAAAGCUAGGGGAGCAAACGGG
rnacentral:rRNA from 1 species